GCGCUCACUCGGCGGCACAUACACUAAAACUGGAACUAUACAGAGAAGAUUAGCAUGGCCCCUGCACAAGGAUGACACAGAAGUUUGUGAAGCGUUGUAUAUUUUU